rnacentral:lncRNA from 1 species
CGGGCCCUAGGCAGCAGCCCCAGUGACACAGCGGAAAGCAGGCGGCCUGCAGCACAGCCUCACGCCGCAGCACCGGGCACGGCGGGCACCUCACCUGCACGGCGGCGGCUUUCCCCCAAAAACCCGGGCCUGGGCAGGGAGCCGAGGUGGGUUUACACGGGGCCGGGUCUUCAAUCGGUGCCGUGCCGGUGGGUGAGGGGGGGGGGGGGUGGGGGGCAGGCAGCAGCACCGGGACAACAUCGCCCAGCCUCAGCCCUCACCCUGCCCCCGCUUCGGGGCCGGUGCCCGGCGCCAAGUUUGCGAGGCGCAGCGCGGCGGGGACGAGCCGGGCAAAGCCCCAGCAAAGCCCCGGCACCCGGCCGCUGUCACCCGCGGCCCCCUCAGACCGGCCGGGACGCGCAGCCACGCGUGUGGCGGGGCCCCCGGGCGGCCGCCCCCGCCCCCCGCCGCCCCCCCGCCCCUCUCAGCGCCCCCCCUCAGCGCCCGGUCCCCCCGCCGAGCCCGGACCCUCCUCACCGCCUCUUUCUCCACCUCAGCGGGGGGCUCCCGGCGGCUCCCCUCCCUCAGGCGCCGCCGCCCUCCGCGCGCGGGCCCCAACGGCGCCCUCACCGCCGCCGCCUCCGGCUCCGCGCCGCCGCCGCCUCCGCUCGGCUUCCCGGCCGCCUCCCCCUCCUCCUCCUGCCCCUCCGCAGCGGCGCCUCCCCGGCUGGCAGGGGCGGAGCGGGGCGGGCGGACAACGUCUGCGCCCCGCCGGGCCCGCGGCACCGCGAGGCGGGGACUGCAGCAGCGGGAGCCGCUCCCCCUGCCCGGCUCCGGCUCCCCCCUUCCCUCUCGUCUCCUCUCCUCGCCCCCUCGCUUUUCCCUUUGUCUCCCCCUGCUUUGUUCGCCCCCCGGGGCAGCCCGCGGCCGGGAGGUAGGAGAGGCUCUGCUCGGUCCUGCCUCGCCCUUCCCCGAAAGCGCCCCGCGGGGUCGCGCACCCCGACUUGGCCUUGGCCCUGUCCCCGUUCCUGUCCCCGUAACGGGGAGCAGGCAGCGCUGAGCCCCUGGGGAAUUCGCCGCUGCAGCAGAUGA